GACGAACGCUGGCGGCGUGCUUAACACAUGCAAGUCGAACGGAAAGGCCCUGCUUUUGUGGGGUGCUCGAGUGGCGAACGGGUGAGUAACACGUGUGUAACCUGCCCUUGACUUUGGGAUAACUUCAGGAAACUGGGGCUAAUACCGGAUAGGAGCUCCUGCUGCAUGGUGGGGGUUGGAAAGUUUCGGCGGUUGGGGAUGGACUCGCGGCUUAUCAGCUCGUUGGUGGGGUAGUGGCUUACCAAGGCUUUGACGGGUAGCCGGCCUGAGAGGGUGACCGGCCACAUUGGGACUGAGAUACGGCCCAGACUCCUACGGGAGGCAGCAGUGGGGAAUAUUGCACAAUGGGCGGAAGCCUGAUGCAGCAACGCCGCGUGCGGGAUGACGGCCUUCGGGUUGUAAACCGCUUUCGCCUGUGACGAAGCGUGAGUGACGGUAAUGGGUAAAGAAGCACCGGCUAACUACGUG
rnacentral:rRNA from 1 species